GAGGAGAUGUAUAGCAUAGCUACUUGCAUCAUUGUAAAAAUGAUGCAGGAUCGACUAUGUCGAAUAAAAUUCUAGGUAGAAUUUUGAUAAUGACAGCUUCUGCCUAUGUGUCUUGACCAAAUUACGUGCCAGCAGUCGCGGUAAUACGUAGAAGACUAGUGUUAUUCAUGUUUUAUCGGUUUAAAGGGUACCUAGACGGUAAAUCAAGCCUAAAAUUAAAUGAAGGGACUAAUUUACUAGAGUUACUUAUGAGGGGGUAUUAAAGUACUGCUGGUGUAGAGAUGAAAUUCUGUCAUACCUCUUUUCAAUAGAAAAAUAAUGGCACAGGUAUAGGCGAAAGCAUCCCCUUAUGUGAUAACUGACGUUGAGGGACGAAGGCUUUGUGUAGCGAACAGGAUUAGAUACCCCCGUAGUCAAAGCAGAAAAUGAUGAAUGUCAUAGAUUAGAUAAAUAAGUUUAUUCUAUAAAUGAAAGUGUAAGCAUUCCCCCUCAAGAGUAAUUUGGCAACAUUGGAACUGAAAUCAUUAGACCGUUUUUGAAACCAGUAGUGAAGUAUGUUGUUUAAUUUGAUGAUCCGCAAAAAACCCUACCCCAAUUUGAAUAUUUAUAUCUAUUAUUGUUUUUUUUUAAUUUUCUUUUGAUUUGAUUUUUCUAAAGAAAAAAGAAAAAAGAAAAAAGAAAAAGAGGCGAUAUGAUAUAUUUACAAGCGUUGCACGGCUGUCUUCAGUUAAUGUCGCGAGACUUUGGUUAGUUCCCUUAAAUUAACGUAAACCAAUUACGUUUAUUUUUAUAUAGAGUAGUUCCCCGCAAUAUUGGAUAUGA
rnacentral:rRNA from 1 species